UGGAGAAGAGCUUAUGCCAUU
rnacentral:piRNA from 1 species